UUAAAUUGAAGAGUUUGAUCAUGGCUCAGAUUGAACGCUGGCGGCAGGCCUAACACAUGCAAGUCGAGCGGAAACGAGUUAUCAGAACCUUCGGGGG
rnacentral:rRNA from 1 species